GACGAACGCUGGCGGCGUGCUUAACACAUGCAAGUCGAACGGAAAGGCCCUGCUUUGUUGGGGUGCUCGAGUGGCGAACGGGUGAGUAACACGUGAGUAACCUGCCCUUUACUUUGGGAUAACUUCAGGAAACUGGGUCUAAUACCGGAUAUGAUCUCGUGCUGCAUGGUGUGGGGUGGGGAGUUUGGGCGGUUGGGGAUGGACUCGGGGCUUAUCGGCUGGUUGGUGGGGUAGUGGCUUACCAAGGCUGUGACGGGUAGCCGGCCUGCGAGGGUGACCGGCCACAUUGGGACUGAGAUACGGCCCAGACUCCUACGGGAGGCAGCAGUGGGGAAUAUUGCACAAUGGGCGGAAGCCUGAUGCAGCAACGCCGCGUGCGGGAUGACGGCCUUCGGGUUGUAAACCGCUUUCGCCUGUGACGAAGCGUGAGUGACGGUAAUGGGUAAAGAAGCACCGGCUAACUACGUG
rnacentral:rRNA from 1 species